rnacentral:tRNA from 1 species
AAAAAGAUAAGCUAAAAAAGCUUUUAGGCUCAUACCCUAACUAUGAAUAAUUAAUUCUCUUUUUA